GACGAACGCUGGCGGCGUGCCUAAUACAUGCAAGUAGAACGCUGAAGGAGGAGCUUGCUUCUCUGGAUGAGUUGCGAACGGGUGAGUAACGCGUAGGUAACCUGCCUGGUAGCGGGGGAUAACUAUUGGAAACGAUAGCUAAUACCGCAUAAGAGUAGAUGUUGCAUGACAUUUGCUUAAAAGGUGCAAUUGCAUUACUACCAGAUGGACCUGCGUUGUCUUAGCUAGUUGGUGGGGUAACGGCUCACCAAGGCGACGAUACAUAGCCGACCCGGGAGGGGGGUUCGCCAAACUGGGACUGGGACACGGCCCAGACUCCUUCGGGAGGCAGCAGUAGGGGAUCUUCGGCAAUGGACGGAAGUCUGAACGAGGAACGCCGCGUGAGUGAAGGAGGUUGUCGGAUCGGAAAGCUCUGUUGUAAGAGAAGAACGAGUGUGGGAGUGGAAAGUUCACACUGUGACGGUAUCUUACCAGAAAGGGACGGCUAACUACGUG
rnacentral:rRNA from 1 species